GUCAUGUGAAUUUCCUUUUUCACCUUCAGACCAAUGCCUAUUCUCACUUAACAUUUUUUGUUUUUAAUUUUUACACGAAGGUGAUUAUGCAACAUUAUUAUACACCUUAGCACGUGCUCUCCUUAUGAACCUUCACAAUGUUGUGCGUUUUUAAUUUGGAGUAUUGAUAAGAUCCCAGCUCCUAAUCAAAUUGUCAAGGGCAAAGAAACAGACAGAAGCAAAUAUUUACUAUGCGAUUACACAAUGUGGCUUUUGCUAGAGGACUGCAGGAGUGCAGAAUAUGGAUGAGCUGUUCUCAAUGGAAGGGCUCUGAAAUAUUCUCUCUGGAAACGACUUGGGGCACACAAAGGGGACAGCCCUGGUGCGUCAGAUGCCAGCUGAUUUUGAAGGUAGUCCAUCCGAAUGUUCCCUGCGACAAUGGUGGUCUACUCUGACAUCACACAGUGGAGGAGUUGAAUGUUCCGGUGGGAGAAGGACAUCAAGUGCAUAGAGCUGGCCCCGGCGCUCUGUCAACCAGCUGGUGUUUGCGUUUCUCUGUGACAGGCGCAUGCCCACAAUCCGCCACUUUGCCAUAAAUCACUGUGUCCCUGGGCAGUAUUGUAGGGAAGGGUUUCCCAAACUCGUUUCUAGGGGCCUGUCAUGCCAAAUAGUGUCCACCGGCCAAAUAGUGUCUCCCUCUGCUAGCAGGCUACUGUAACGGUUAUUGCAGCUUUCUGUUUGUAUGUAGCUUGCACUUCAAUGGCAUCCCUCGAGGAGAUAUUUUACCUUUCCGACCAGGCGAAGUGUUCUGAAGACACCACUGAUCUCGACAAGAGGCGCAACAUUCAGAGAAAAUCACAAUUCGGGGUAAUCAUAUCUACCUACGGGGGAAGGAUGGUCAGCCACACAGGAGGGUGAUUUUUGUUAAGGAGGAGGAGGAGGCCGUGCUGACUGUGAUGCUUGCUGGCCAAUUCGGAGUGAAGCGCCUGAUUGCCAAAAUCAACCUACGCUUCUUCUGACAGGGAAUUGUCAAGGAGGUGGACAGCUGGGCAAGUGAAAUAACCUUUUGUUUAUCAAUCACAUUCUGUUAUAUGUGGAAAUUAUUAUGGUUACAAUGAAUGUCAUAUCAGAGAGCACGCAAUGUUUCAAUUUGUCACUUUUUGCUUAAAGGUCAGUACCUGUCCAGCCUUCCAGAAGUUUGAGAGGGCGAAGAGUGUGGCGCCGGAGUUGAAGUUGUUUUACCAUGGCACAUGAUCGGGAUGGACCUCAUCGGCUCCUUCAUGAAAUCCAGGAAAGGCAACAGCUGGUGUCUGACGGCGACCGAUCACUUUACCAAGUAGAUGGAGGCAAUACCCAUUAAGAUCAGUAAAGGAAGAGAACGUCCUUAACUCUAAAUACCCAUCUGCAACCCAUUAAAAAGGGUGCUUGGAACCAAAAAUAGAUUUUUGUUUUUUUAUGACACAAAACUAGUGAGAGCACCUCCAAGGAUAUGGUGGGCAUCUUCAACACCCACUAUUCUCCUGAGGUCAUCUUGAGUGACCGAGGUCAGGUACGGAUGUUAAAGGUUAUAUUCUGUCACCAAUGCUUUGUUUUGUUUAUUUUGUUACAAUCUGUUUUUGUUUUUCCAUGGUAGAUAAUCAGACAUAUUUCAAUAUCUUACAUUGUCAAUAGAUAUCACUUUCCUACCCCCCUCCUCCAGGUUUGGUGAAUGGACCAACCAGGCCAUUGUGAUUGACUUAGUGUUGUUUGUCUAUUGCUAUUUUUGCUUAACGGUCUUUCAGAUCACUGAAACCCCACCUGAUGUGGUGGAAGUUGUCGAAACCAGAUCAAGACGCCUUCGAGAAUUACCUUCAGGCAGGGACUGAGAGGGAUGUGGAGGUCUUUGACCAUAUACAAAUUAUUGUCCGUUGUUUGUUUGUUUUCUGGACCUCCAAGAGAUAUGUAAGAAAUGUAUUUGUAAUGUGAAAUAUAAUUGCAUGUCAUUCGUGUCAUCCAACAAGGUGAGACUGAACAUGGACAAGGCGCAGGAGAAACAGAAGGAGCGCUACCGGAGCAAAGUCAAGAAGGGGACCAAGUGCUACGACAUCCGGGCAAAUGACUUGGUUUGGAAGAAGAACGAAAGGAAGGCAGAGACCUUGAAACCUCGCUGCUCCUAGCUGUGGUCACGAUCUGUUAAAGGUUACCUAGGGUUACCUAGGAAGCCAACUAUCUUCUGCAGUUGGACGGUCUACUACUGGAAGCAUUGACGCCCUACACUUCAGUGAAGCCCAAUUUACAAAGACCAUCGACUGUCCAAGCCCCCCAGGAGGUAUCCCAUCUACCAGAACCGGUGAGUUCGGAUCAGUCUGAUUCUCUGUGCUCUGAGUCGGAGGGGGACUAGCUUGAGGUAGGCUACACCUUCCAAAAGUGUUGAAAAGUACAUAUCUCUGUUAAUCCAUCAAAUUUUCUCACAGUAAAGUGUAACCUGUGUGUUUGCUUGUUUAUGUCGGUCUCCUACCAUGUCCCCUUCAACUCUGCUCCUGUUCUCCAAGAGCUAGGGGUUUUGGCCAACACCCAGAUCCACCUGAUGUCCUCCAUUAACAACCAUUCUUUUCAUUACCUCAUCUACAGCUACUGUUGUCAUUACGCCAUCUACAGCUACGGUUAUCAUUAUCUGCUAAGAAAGCUAUCUUGCGCUAUCAUACUGGGCACAUAAUAUGUGAGAGACACAGAUUAACUAAAAACAUUAGCACUGAAAAUCCUCUGAACAAAGCGAACAGCAGUGCCUGGACUUCGCAGUCUCCUUCUUCAACUCCCCCCUUCUGAGACUGGGUGCCUGUUGAGAACAAGUGACAGGCAGAAUCUCCCACCCACACAGCAACCACCUCCUAUAUUCCACACACCAGAAUUAUGUAUUUAGUCCAUGAUUGCCAUGUGAAAAUAAAUUAAUGACACAACUGUACCAAACAAUAUCAACGUUUCUGUGUUACAUUCUUAAAUAUUGACGGGUUAGUUUUCACAACAUGUUCAUUGCUGUAAGGUGUCCUUUGAUGGUAUUUAUUUGUUCCUCAUUAUUAAUUGAAUGUAGUCAAUCCUGCCGUAGAGAUAGCGUGCAUCUCACAGGUGAGGGCAACGACCUCUUCCUUGAGUCUGAGAGCUGAUCCCUCUUUUGUUCUAGCAAGAUCUGUGCUCUUGGGGUAAUUCUCAAAAUGGAUUUUACAUUUUUUUUUUAAGGAAGUGUCAGGGAACAUUAUUUUUUACAUGUAUCUAACCUUUGUGUAGUGACAGUCUCCAUAUAUACUGUACUUCCAUAAAUGUUUUAUACUGGUAUCAGGGGACUUUAUGUAUUAACCUAUCAAGAUCAAAUAUUGUAGUUGGGCAACAUAUGCGAUGUGAAUAUAAAACAUUUCAUUCUGAAGUCGGGAGUGUACUUUCUCUUGAUUCAGCUCAAAUAACGGCCGCCAUUGAUUUAAAGAAAUGUUAUGACAUUUUUUUACGUGGUUGCGUCAUAUUUCUUUGCAUACUUUCCAUUGAAGCUUGCAUCAAUGCAUGCUUCAAAAUAUGUACAAACGGAGUUUGCAUUUUGAGAAGUGCCCUCCAUGCUCCAUUUCGCAUGCUUUCAUUUGGAAUCGUACUCCGAUCCUCCCGUGCUCCAAUUUUCGUUGUAUGCAGUUUGAGAAUUAGCCAUCGACUUUGACAGAGCAUUUAAAUUUCUUGAAUCCUUCCUUCCAAAAUGAUUUUGUUCAUUUACUCAAUAGUGAUUUUACGUUUAUUUAUCUUGCUUGGUUAAAAUACAAUACUCUAAAACAGUCAAUUUGUUGAAAACAGACUUCUUUAAUCACGUUAAAACCCAUUUCCUUUUCUUUUGACUGUGUGCUACUACAGGCGGCAACCUGAUCUCAGAGCAUUUCGUAUUAUUCUGUAUGGAUAUUUUUAUGUGCAAGUAUUAAUUUGUGGAUGUCCAUCAUCCAUUUCACAUAAUAUGUUAUGAGUUACAAUUCAUAUGGUAUGUUACGAAUUGCAGUUGUAUGAUAUGUUAUGAAUUUCAAUUGUAAAUUAUGAAUGCAAUAUGUAGGAUAUGUUGCCAAUUCCAAUUUGUUGUAACUAACGUUAGCUAGGUGUCUAAUGCUAAUGUUAGCUGGGCUAGCGGUUACGGUUAGGAGUGAGGUGAAAGGGUUAAGGUUAGGAGUUAUGUUCAAGGUUAGCGUUAGGGGAAGGGUUAGCUAACAUGCUAAGUAGUUGCAAAGUAGCUAAAAAGUAGUAAGUAGAUGCAAAGCUGGUAAUUGGACUAAAUGCUAGUUGUCCAUGAGAUUUGAACACUCAAUUUUUGGGUUGCUAGACAUUUGCUUAUACGACUAACCAACCUCAUUUUAGCAUGAAAGGAGAAUUUUCCUCUUUCUGAUGUCAAUCUAAAUGUUUUAUGUAAAUUAAAUGUUAUAGUCGGUUCCAGACACCUUUUCUGUGAUUUGCCUUGUUUUUGAUAAACAUACCCCAGCUUCGAUUCACUUUCUCAUUGCUCUUUGUACAGCAUCAGGGCAUGCAAAAGACAUGAUUAAACUCCAAAAACACCUAAACACAUCCUUUUAGUAAUGGACAUGCUCUCUGUAUAGUGAAGUCUAGGUUACGCCCUGAUACUACACAACAAGCAAUGAGGAAGUGAAUUGCAGCCGGGGUAAGUUUAUCAAGAACAAGCCAAAUCACAUACAAAGUGUCUGGACCCUUCUAUAAUGUGCCAUUUACAUCAAAAAUAGAGAUUUACUUUAGAAAUAGGAAAAUUAUCCAGUAACCUUCUGUCUUAUGUAACCAUACUAAACGUAACAUAUCAUACUAAUUUCAGUGUCCCGGAUUAUAUUUUAGUAUGUUACGUCUAUAAGAGCAGGUUGGCGCAAGGAAUGUGGCGAACUUUGUUUUACCCUGGUUCACAAUGUGCAGCCUUUUCCCUGACUAUUUUUUCACUAUUGCAUGGCAACUUCAAAUAUUCUGUGAACACACUGAAAAGUAACUUGUAACUGUUGAUCAGUCAGCACACCUUUAGGAUUAUAAGAAUGACAAGACAGCAGGAGAAAGAGCUUAUGCAGGAGCUGGAAUUUAUUCUACACAUGUUUGAAACAGUAACACAUUCGGUCGAGUCUGGUAACUUGAAGUGAGCAUGCACAACUGAGGUUCUGUUUCUAUGUGUGUUUGGGGUUCAACCAUUUCCUGUAUGCAUACCUAGAUUACUUAUCAAAAUGAUUUUUUUUUUUAGGCUAUGGUUUCUCAUGGCUGUUCUUCGAGGAAAUAUAGCGUAGCUAGCUAACUGCAGUGUUUGUUGUGUCUGAAAUCUGGCUACCUCCUUUUAUUGUAGCUGUAGCUUGGUUUGUACAAUGCAAAUAAAUGUGAGUUGCGUGGCAGUUUC